AACAAACUUGUCUGGGUGAUUUGCAGAUGAAAUUGGCAUCUCUCUCAGUGUUCAAGGACCUGGAAAGAUAUCAUACAAACAUUGUGACGUCACUAAAGAAGACGAAAUAAAGAAAUGUAUUGACGAAACAAUUGAGGCUUUUGGCAGAAUCGAUUGUGUCAUCAACGACGUUGGCUACUUUCCAGGAGGUCAUAGUAUCAAUGACGUCACUUCCGAUUUGUUCAGGCGUGUUCUAGAUGUUAACAUAGUCAGUCAGUUUACGAUGUGUAAG